rnacentral:rRNA from 1 species
AGUAUAAGGGGUUCUGGAAACCUAAGAUUUUUGGCGGUUUUUUAGUCUAGUCAGAGGAACCUGCUGUUUAAUGGAUAGUCCUCCGUUGAUUUUACUUUUUUUUUAAAUACCGCCGUCGACGACAGGUCAAGGUUUAGUUUAUGAGAGAGGUUGAAAAUGGAUUUGAAUGUUGAUAGAGGAGAAUUGAGCUCUAAAAAAUGU